GGGCAGAGACAGAGACAGAGACAGAAAGAAGGGGCAGAGACAGAGACAGAGACAGAAAGAAGGGGCAGAGACAGAGACAGAAAGAAGGGGCAGAGACAGAGACAGAAAGAAGGGGCAGAGACAGAGACAGAAAGAAGGGGCAGAGACAGAAAGAAGGGGCAGAGACAGAGACAGAAAGAAGGGGCAGAGACAGAGACAGAGACAGAAAGAAGGGGCAGAGACAGAGACAGAAAGAAGGGGCAGAGACAGAGACAGAAAGAAGGGGCAGAGACAGAGACAGAAAGAAGGGGCAGAGACAGAGACAGAAAGAAGGUGCAGAGACAGAGACAGAGACAGAAAGAAGGGGCAGAGACAGAGACAGAAAGAAGGGGCAGAGACAGAGACAGAGACAGAAAGAAGGGGCAGAGACAGAGACAGAAAGAAGGGGCAGAGACAGAGACAGAAAGAAGGUGCAGAGACAGAGACAGAGACAGAAAGAAGGGGCAGAGACAGAGACAGAGACAGAAAGAAGAGGCAGAGACAGAGACAGAGACAGAAAGAAGAGGCAGAGACAGAGACAGAAAGAAGGGGCAGAGACAGAGACAGAAAGAAGGGGCAGAGACAGAGACAGAGACAGAGACAGAAAGAAGGGGCAGAGACAGAGACAGAGACAGAAAGAAGCAGGGCAGAGACAGAGACAGAAGAAGGGCAGAGCAGAGACAGAAAGAAGGGGCAGAGACAG
ensembl:lncRNA